UACGGAGGGUGCAAGCGUUGUUCGGAUUUACUGGGCGUAAAGCGCGCGCAGGUGGGUGUACAAGUCGGAAGUGAAAUCCCAGGGCUCAACCCUGGGGCUACUCCCGAAACUGUACGCCUAGGGACUGGUAGAGGCUGGUAGAAUUCCCGGUGUAGCGGUGGAAUGCGUAGAGAUCGGGAAGAAUACCCGUGGCGAAGGCGGCCAGCUGGGCCAGAUCCGACACUGAGGCGCGAAAGCGUGGGGAGCAAACAGG
rnacentral:rRNA from 1 species